UCAAACGCUAUCUGAAUGAGGUCUACAACGUCAGUCAGUUUGGAGAGCAUAGGUUCCAAGAAGCGGGUGGAAUGAGGCCUUGAAUGUGCAGAGAAGGGUGCCACAGCAUUGACGCCAUUAUUCUCCUGUCUGGGUCUGGCGGUGUCACAUUUAUCAAGUCUCACCAGCGCGGCGGCCCUCCGGGAUCCCAGCUCUGACAAGAACAAAUGACAGCGAUCACCUCGUGCGCCACCUCCAUUAGCAACGACUGGAACAGCCGGUAACGGCGCAUCAACAUUUCAGCUGCACGUCUUGUCGUCGUCGUCGUUGUGUUUUCUCCUUCAGAUGGUGUUCAGGUGGCCCUAGAUGGCGACUGACCCGUGUGAGGGAGAGAGAACCCGGGUCGGGGUGCCAGGUCCGGGCCAGAUCAGAGCCGCAUGUAGACCAGACCCAGGCCCAAAGUCAGCUGCCAUAAGGGUGUUGCUAUGUAGGUGUAUGACACGAUGAAGCAAGCCCUGUCUCAUGUCCCGGGUGGAGAUUUAAGUCCCGUUUGCUUUUUUUUUUUCUCUUUUUUUUUAAAUCAGUGGUACAAAAAUAGUGUCAUUGUGGCUUCGGCUGGAAGACUGCUUUGUCCUUUCUUUGUCCGCAAGACAAGACAAAUAAAAGGGUGCUGUGGA